AUAGCUGUAGUAAAAAGUAUUAUGCCUACCUUCCAAGUAGGAGUUCUAAGAUUUAGCGGUUAUA
rnacentral:tRNA from 1 species